UACGUAGGAGGCGAGCGUUGUCCGGAAUUACUGGGCGUAAAGCGCGUGUAGGCGGGCGCUCUUGUCGGGGAUGAAAGCCCUCUGCUCAACGGGGGGAGUGUUCGCGAAACGGAGCGCCUCAUUGGAGUGUGGUAGGGGGAGGCGGAACGGCCGGUGGAGCGGUGAAAUGACGGUAGAGAUCGGUCAGAACACCAGUGGCGAAGGCGGCCUCCUGGGCCACAACGUGACGCUGAGACGGCGAAAGCGUGGGGAGCGAAC
rnacentral:rRNA from 1 species